rnacentral:rRNA from 1 species
AACCAGCACCUCAAGUGGUCAGGAUGAUUAUUGGGCCUAAAGCAUCCGUAGCCUGUUCUGUAAGUUUUCGGUUAGAUCUAUGCGCUCAACGUAUAGGCUGCCGAAAAUACUGCAGAACUAGGGAGUGGGAGAGGUAGACGGUACUCGGUAGGAAGGGGUAAAAUCCUUUGAUCUAUUGAUGACCACCUGUGGCGAAGGCGGUCUACCAGAACACGUUCGACGAUAAAAAAUGAAAGCUAAAGGAGCAAACCGG